AGAUGGACAAGUUGAAGAAACGUCACAGGAGCCCAAGAGGCUGGCCAGAGAGCCCAGGACUCAGUUCCUCUGUGGGAAGGCACACACACUCUAUGACCCAGUUGUACCAGAUGUUUGGCAGGUGGCUGGAUAGAUUCUGUGGCAGCGAGAGCUCCUCUAAUGGAUCCUUCAAAACCACACGGCACCUUCUGAUUGGAAUAUACACUACCCUGAGGUUUUGUCUCACCUCUGUGGGUGAAGGAUGGAACAGACAGGAGAAAGAUGAAGGAACCAGGUUAGUACAAGACUCAGUUGA
rnacentral:lncRNA from 1 species